CUCUCUCCCUCGGGAUCGGGACCGGGCCGCGGGGCAGCGAUCCCAAUCCCAGAGGGGGGGUCAAAGGGCGGGAGGGAAGCAGCGGAGCAGAGCAGAGCAGAGUGCUAGGCAGGCGGCCGCGGGACGCCGCACACGCGAAAAGCAGGAGCGGCCGGGCCGGGCCGCGGCCGUUUACGGCACACAGACUGGCACAGGUAAGCCUCCGCCCGAACCACAACAGCAACGGCGGGAAUGGAAUGCCAUGCCCCCUCGACUCCUCUAAGACCCGCUCUAGGCCACUCGCCGCUCUACGUCGUCCUAGUCGCGUUCUUCUCAAGGCGUCUCCGGCUCAAAAAAUGCCUCAUGCCGCUGCGUUCAGCUAUGUUCUAAGUCCUUUAGCAACCUUUCCCGUCGAUACCACAGCACACGAGGCGUUAUCUGCAGGUGUGGCCUCUCUUUCACCGCUAUUUUUUCUAUGUACUAUAGAAACUCGUGUAUAGACUACGACGUGCCUAAGAGGCACUCUAGUUCGAAGACUCCGAGAAUUCUGUAGGACUGUAACAACUCUAGUUCGUAUAAUACAACGGAGGUAGCUCUUCUCUGAAGUUUCUAUAAAUACAGCAAAAACUCGAGUACCUCAGACUAGAGGUGGUCCAAUAUUUCCGAUUACUACUGAACUGUUUCCUCGUAAUGGUCAAGAAAGAAAUGGUUAAUGAGGCCCGAGACUUUAUGUAAGUGUGACGAUUACAAAUAGUGGCCCUGGAUUUCGGUUUCUUAUAUAACCGUUUAAGGUUGACGUUUGACUUCUAAACACUAAAACCUAACCGUGCUCAACGUAAGUUGCUAUGGGGGUGUUGUUAGAAAACCUGCCUAAUACAACGCUGUUCUACCAUAUCUCGAGGUCUCGAGACACCAAGGAAGAAAAGUUUCAUAUGUGGGCGGUAACUACAGACCUCGUAGCCUACGUAGAAACGACUCCAGAACUGUCCUUUUGGAAACAAAGGACCAUUUUUACAACAUGUAGUCAAUCUAGACUACUGACUAGAAGACCCGUGUGGUAGAUACCUAUGUUAGAGAGCCCAGGCCUUACUCUUUCGUUCCUCCAUAGACUCGUCGUACUCUUUCUUUCUCGACUAAAGUAAAAGCGUAUUUAAAGGGUUACGUCUAGGAAACCGGAAUCUGGACAACGUUUCCGAAAAUCGCAAACUAGGUUUCCUGGCGGGUUGACGACUUCUCCGUAACAGAGUAGGCAUGAAAUUUCCCGAACGGUUCCAACUCUCUCUUGGUAGGACGGUUGGUUAGUGUUUUUACCUCAAACUCAAACUCGCAUCUUCUCACUGUUUUCUUCUGUAUUCCCUCGAAUAUAAAGCACUCUAUAACCUUAUGGUAGGUGUUAACGAGUUUCUGAUGUGGUUACCUUGACUUUCCUGUUGGAAAGAUAUGGGUUCACGACAACUAGUUAAAUCCUUCGUCAAACGAGUAGAACUUCUUUUAUCACUCUUGCCGGGACAUCAAGGUUACCUAUCUUUCGUGUGGAGAGAAGGAUCCAGAUGAUAACAAGUGAGUCGAGGUUAAGUACCGUUCCUUGUUGGGGCAUAACCGGGUAGUUCCCUAUUCGGAAGCGGACUGCUCAGAAUAUUUUUAGUAGCUCUAAGUCUUUUUAUAAGACCGUUACAGGUCUCUUGGAGUGUCCGAGGUGUUUCUCACGGUUGUCGUUCUGGUCCUUCCCAACAACCAGGUCAAGACGGAAUGCUUUUACCACCGUACUUCCUAUGUAUACUGGGUACUUCUCACCGUCGUUACUUGAGGCCAAUAGGAGGGGUUGUUGUUUAGGGCGUUUAUAUGCCAAUAAUAGUCUGUGGCCGUUUCAGUCGAACGAGGCUCGGUAGCGUCCGGCUUUACAUAUGCGACGUGGUCGUCCGGAUACGAACGCGUUUGUCAAGUUGACACGGACUACAACGAGACCUGUACUCUCGUGGAGGGAAGGUAGUCAGUCGUCCCGGCUUUUCCCCAAGAAGACUAUCCGAUAGUCGCCUUAGUUUGGAUAUGAGCUCUAGGGAAUUACCGUAUCGAGGUUGAUGUUGUCCUCACCGCCGUUCACGAGUGUCCUUCCAGCCGCAACAAGGGAUGCCAUACAGCGUCUACAUAAUCACCGGUCAGUCCGCGUAGGCUGUACGGAAGGACCUCACGCCGACCACCGAAUUGCUUUGUCGCUCUUUGCUUCACCGCCUAGUUCGAACCCACCCCUACGGUGUUCCAAAUGUCGCGUCCCGUCGGGCCCCAAACUACGAAUACAAACGACAGACUAGACCUUCGCACACUUCGAGAAGCAAGACAAAGCCCGGUAGUCGAACAACAUAGACGGACACACGUGUGACCUACCCCCACCCAUCAGUCAGGUCACCGAACAUUAGACUCGAUAAAUCCGCGGCCAAUGAAAAAGAUCCCGCUCCUCUGUCUUCCCUUUCCUUCCUUACGAUUGGGCAAAGGACAACAUAUCUCUACAAACAGUAGUUACACGUUGAAGUCUUUCUAUAUAUAUUUGAAUAUUUCGUGUGAAGACGACGU
rnacentral:rRNA from 1 species